UGGCCACAUCACAUUGAAACACCGGUUCCCAUAUGAUCACCAAAGUUAAGCAAUGUUGAGCCUGGUCAGUACCUAAAUGGUAACCAUUUAGAAAUACCAGGU